GACGAACGCUGGCGGCGUGCUUAACACAUGCAAGUCGAACGGAAAGGCCCGGCUCUUGUGGGGUGCUCGAUUGGCGAACGGGUGAGUAACACGUGAGUAACCUGCACUUGACAGUGUGGUAACUUCAGGAAACUGGGGCUAAUACCGCAUAGGAGCUCCUGCUGCAUGGUGGUGGUUGGAAAGAUACGGCGGUUGGGGCUCGACUCGCGGCUUAUCAGCUUGUUGGGGGGGUAGGGGCUUACAAAGGCUUUGACGGGUAGCCGGCCUGGGAGCUGGGCCGGCGACCUGGGGACUACGGUACGGACCAGUAGCCUACGGGAGGCAGUGGUCGAGAACAUUGCGGAACGGGCCGGAGCCUGAUGUAGCAGUGCCGCGUGCGGGAUGACGGCUUUCGGGUUGUAAACCGAUGUCGCCUGUGACGAAGCGUUCGUGACGGUAAUGAGUCAGGAAGCACCGGCUAACUACGUG
rnacentral:rRNA from 1 species